AUCUCAGUGAAUUUGUAGUACAGUAAGGAAAAUUGCUUCCUCUUAGACUUUAUUAUUGAAGCUCUUCCACCAUCCAUGCCAGAACUCUGUCUUUGACUUUUUUAUUCUAGUUUAUUUGCAGACAUAUGUUGAGGGUCUACAAUAAUUCUAAGCAUGAACCCAUGAACCCAGUCUAAUCAUGACAGAAACAUUAGACAAAGCCAAAAUGAAGACAUUCUACAAAGUACCUAACUAGUAUUCUUCAAAAGUGUCAAAGUCAUGAAAAACAAAGCAGUCCUGACAAACUGGAGGAAACUAAGGAGACAUCACUACUACCCAGUGAAACAUGAUAUCUUGGAUUCAGUUCUGGACAUUAGUAAAAAAAUAAAAAAUAGGCCAAGCGCAGUGGCUCAUGCCUGUAAUCCCAGGACUUUGGGAGGCCGAGGACGGCGGAUCACGAGGUCAGGAGAUCGAGACCAUCCUGGCUACCACUGUGAAACACCGUCUCUACUAAAAAUACAAAAAAAAAAAAAAAAAAAAUUAGCUGGGCGUGGUGGCAGGCACCUGUAGUGCCAGCUACUCGGGAGGCUGAGGCAGGAUAAUGGCGUGAACCUGGGAGGCGAGCUUGCAGUGAGCAGAGAUCGCGCCACCGCACUCCAGCCUGGGCGACAAAGCGAGACUCCAUCUCAAAAAUAAAUAAAUAAAAUAAAAAAUAAAAAUAAAACUUAUGAAUGAGUUAUUAAUAGCAAUGUACCAAUGCUAAUUCUUAGUAUGGACAAAAGCACCAUGGUUAUAUAAAAGGCUGACAUUAGGGAAAACUAAGUAAAAAAUAUGUGAGAACUCUAUUAUUCCAACAACUUUUCUAUCUAUCUAAGAUUAUUUUAAAAUAAAAUUUUUAAAAAUCUAGUGUGGGUUUCAAGGGCUUAAGAUGAAAUUAAUGAAGUGUUCAAUUAUAGCUUUAUUGAGUCAGCUAAGGAAGACUCGAGGGUGUUGAACUAUAGUUUCUUUUUUUUAUAAUAAUAAAAUUUUUAUGGUUUAGUGUUAAAAUCUCAUUGAUAUACAAUCAUGAUCAUAUAGAAAGUAACUUCACAUUUUUCCUGUGCCUAUAUUUCUAAAACUCACAUUAAUAUCUUUAUUUAAAUAGAAAUGUAAUAAGAUAUUGCAUUUCUAUUCAAAUAAAUGAAUGACCAUGAAUGAAAGUAAAAUCCAGGAAUAUUGAUGUAGACUACUUUUUGUCAUUGCCAGAUCACAAAAUGAUAUACAUCAUCAGUCAUAAUCAUAUACGCAUUUUUUGUUGUAGACCAAAAAAAUAAAAUUUAAAACUGAUCUUAAAGGUUAUUUUACUAAUAUGCAGAAAUCUAUUUCUGGGUUUCUUUUUUAUCUUUUAUUUUAGGUUUAUGGGUACAUUUGAGGUUUGUUACAAACUACGGGUCAUGGGGGUUUCGUGUAGAUUAUUUUGUCACCCAGGUAAUAAGCAUAGUACCUGACAAGCAGAUUUAUUGAGCAUUUAGUAGGUAAAGAGCACUGUGCUAGGUUCUCGGAUGGAAAAUUACAACGUCUACCUGUUAUAGUCCUUGAGGGACCUCAAC
rnacentral:lncRNA from 1 species